UGGGGAAUAUUGCACAAUGGGCGCAAGCCUGAUGCAGCCAUGCCGCGUGUAUGAAGAAGGCCUUCGGGUUGUAAAGUACUUUCAGUUGGGAGGAAGGUGGUAAGGUUAAUAACCUUAUCAAUUGACGUUACCGACAGAAGAAGCACCGGCUAACUCCGUGCCAUCAGCCGCGGUAAUACGGAGGGUGCAAGCGUUAAUCGGAAUUACUGGGCGUAAAGCGCACGCAGGCGGUUGAUUGAGUCAGAUGUGAAAUCCCCGGGCUUAACCCGGGAAUUGCAUCUGAUACUGGUCAGCUAGAGUCUUGUAGAGGGGGGUAGAAUUCCAUGUGUAGCGGUGAAAUGCGUAGAGAUGUGGAGGAAUACCGGUGGCGAAGGCGGCCCCCUGGACAAAGACUGACGCUCAGGUGCGAAAGCGUGGGGAGCAAACAGG
rnacentral:rRNA from 1 species